AGUGGCGAACGGGUGAGUAACGCGUAAGAACCUGCCUCAAGGCUGGGGAUAACAUUUGGAAACAGAUGCUAAUACCGAAUGAAACUUAGUGUCGCAUGAUACGAAGUUAAAAGGCGCUUCGGCGUCACCUAGAGAUGGAUCCGCGGUGCAUUAGUUAGUUGGUGGGGUAAAGGCCUACCAAGACAAUGAUGCAUAGCCGAGUUGAGAGACUGAUCGGCCACAUUGGGACUGAGACACGGCCCAAACUCCUACGGGAGGCUGCAGUAGGGAAUCUUCCACAAUGGGCGAAAGCCUGAUGGAGCAACGCCGCGUGUGUGAUGAAGGCUUUCGGGUCGUAAAGCACUGUUGUAUGGGAAGAGCAGCUAGAAUAGGGAAUGAUUUUAGUUUGACGGUACCAUACCAGAAAGGGACGGCUAAAUACGUGCCAGCAGCCGCGGUAAUACGUAUGUCCCGAGCGUUAUCCGGAUUUAUUGGGCGUAAAGCGAGCGCAGACGGUUGAUUAAGUCUGAUGUGAAAGCCCGGAGCUCAACUCCGGAAUGGCAUUGGAAACUGGUUAACUUGAGUGCAGUAGAGGUAAGUGGAACUCCAUGUGUAGCGGUGGAAUGCGUAGAUAUAUGGAGGAACACCAGUGGCGAAGGCGGCUUACUGGACUGUAACUGACGUUGAGGUUCGAAAGUGUGGGUAGCAAACAGGAUUAGAUACCCUGGUAGUCCACACCGUAAACGAUGAACACUAGGUGUUAGGAGGUUUCCGCCUCUUAGUGCCGAAGCUAACGCAUUAAGUGUUCCGCCUGGGGAGUACCACCGCAAGGUUGAAACUCAAAGGAAUUGACGGGGACCCGCACAAGCGGUG
rnacentral:rRNA from 1 species